CGAAGAUGUUCUUGGCAA
rnacentral:snRNA from 1 species